rnacentral:rRNA from 1 species
GAAUUGUUAUUACCUGGGUACUAAACAGUUAUUAUCUUGAAACUCAAAGGAUUUGGCGGUAACUUAGUCUAUUUAGAGGAACCUGUCCUGUAAUCGAUAGUCCACGAAGAAUCUUACUCUAUUUUGUAGAAAUACAGUUUGUAUACCGUCAUUAUUAGGUAACUUUUAUAAAAGAUAAAGUUACUAGAAUAGUUUUGCUAAUAUAUUAGAUCGAGGUGCAGCUUAUAAUACAGGAAGAGAUGGGUUACAAUAUACUAAAAUAAACGGAACAAUAAAUGAAUAUUUAU